rnacentral:misc_RNA from 1 species
GAAAUGCGAUAAGUAAUGUGAAUUGCAGAAUACAGUGAAUCAUCGAAUCUUUGAACGCACCUUGCGCUCCUUGGUAUUCCUUGGAGCAUGCCUGUUUGAGUAUCAUGAAAUCUUCAAAGUAAAUCUUUUGUUAACUCAAUUGGUUUCUACUUUGGUAUUGGAGGUCUUUGCAGCUUCACACCUGCUCCUCUUUGUUCAUUAGCUGGAUCUCAGUGUUAUGCUUGGUUCCACUCGGCGUGAUAAGUUAUCUAUCGCUGAGGACACUGUAAAAGGUGGCCAAGGUAAAUGCAGAUGAACCGCUUCUAAUAGUCCAUUGACUUGGACAAUACUUUUAUGAUCUGAUCUCAAAUCAGGUAGGACUACCCGCUGAACUUAAGC